rnacentral:lncRNA from 1 species
CCCCGCUCCCCGGCCACAGCAAUCACAAGCUCAUUCUCGAAGUCUGAGUUGGUACAGGCUAGUUUAUUCCUUGUCCUUUUUUUUAUUUGUUCUGACAUAUGCUUUAUUUCUUCUGGAUUAUACUACUGCCUAGGAGUAGAAUUUCCUUUGUCCUUAGUUGAUAAAGAGCCUCCUGGUCCUGAUUUUCAGAAGCAUCAGUGACUCCAUAUCGCCACCCUGUGGUGAUCUUACCCUGAAGACUAGACUGGGAUAGGAUUUUUUCUUUUUGCUUCCUUUUGAGCAUUUCCAUCUCUUUUCUACUUGAGUGAUAAUCAGACUACACAUGCACAUACCGCCCAAGCCUUGCUAUGCUUUCACUGUAUAUUUUUACAUGAGAUUUUUACAACAAAGCUGUAAGGUGUGGCUGUUAUUUAUGCUUAAAAUAAAGAUGAGGAAAAUAACUUAAGUGACUUCCCUGUCGUGUCAGAACACCAUCCUUUUAGCUGCACCCAGAUCUCCUUCUUCAGGUAUGCACUCUUGGUUCUAUGAUAGAAAAAAAAAUUUUUUUCAUCUUUUUUUUUUUUUUUUAAAGAAAUAGCCUUGGCUGUUUUGUUUUUGUUUGUUUGUUUGUUUGUUUUUGGCUGAAUAGUAUGCGGAAUUUUAGUUUCCCAUCCAGGGGUUGAACCCCUGUGCCCCCUGUGGUGGAAGUGCUGAGUCUUAAUUACUGGACCACCAGGGAAAUUCUCAAGAUUUUUUUUUUUUUUCAUCUUUUUGUGACACCACAACCCUAAAUCCAGCCUGACAGGAAAUGAGUGCAGGAUGCCGGGGGUGGGGGGAGAUCAGGAGAUAAAAUUCCAUGUGGAAAAUCCUGAUACGACUUCAGCUGGCAGCCUGGUAGAAAGGAGGGAGAAGCAGAGAGGACAGAUGCUUCCUGGGUGCAAGGUAGAGAAAAGCCCAUGCAGCAGUGAAGACCCAGCACAGCCCAGAUUAAAUUCAAGAACUAGCCUUUUGUGAGCUCGCCGGGUGGUCCUUCUUUUCUCAGGCCACACUUUGGGUAAGACUGAUUUAUACUGAGUUUCAUCACUAGAGAACACGGGACAGCUAGCCGGUGGCUUUAAUUUAAAAUGCUGUGAGUAUGUGGUCUGUGCCAAAACCCAGCCUAGCUUGAGACUUUACUGCUGAGUUCAAUUUGCACUGCUCUCUGUAGGACAGAAAAAUAAGUCAAGUGAUGAGUUGUGGGGGUAAGGAAAAACAACUUUAUUUGGAAAUCCCUUAGGCAGAAAACAUGGUGGACUCUUGUCCCAAAGAAUCAUUUUAACAGUUAUGAUUCAGGCUCCUUUUAUACUAAAAGGGGAGUGGGUGUGGCUGGUUUCUGCAGCUAUUUGCUUUUCCACUUCUUUAAAAAACUAUUUUUAUUUAAAUAAAUGAAAAAAAAUUUUUUUACA